AACGAACGCUGGCGGCAUGCCUAACACAUGCGAGUCGAACGAGACCUUCGGGUCUGGUGGCGCACGGGUGCGUAACGCGUGGGAACCUGCCCUUAGGUUCGGAAUAACUCCCCGAAAGGGGUGCUAAUACCGGAUAAUGUCUUCGGACCAAAGAUUUAUCGCCUUUGGAUGGGCCCGCGUUGGAUUAGCUAGUUGGUAGGGUAAAAGCCUACCAAGGCGACGAUCCAUAGCUGGUCUGAGAGGAUGAUCAGCCACACUGGGACUGAGACACGGCCCAGACUCCUACGGGAGGCAGCAGUGGGGAAUAUUGGACAAUGGGCGAAAGCCUGAUCCAGCAAUGCCGCGUGAGUGAUGAAGGCCUUAGGGUUGUAAAGCUCUUUUACCCGGGAUGAUAAUGACAGUACCGGGAGAAUAAGCUUCGGCUAACUCCGU
rnacentral:rRNA from 1 species